AUUGAACGCUGGCGGCAGGCUUAACACAUGCAAGUCGAGCGGGGUGAUGGUGCUUGCACUAUCACUUAGCGGCGGACGGGUGAGUAAUGCUUAGGAAUCUGCCUAUUAGAGGGGGACAACAUCUCGAAAGGGAUGCUAAUACCGCAUACGUCCUACGGGAGAAAGCAGGGGAUCACUUGUGACCUUGCGCUAAUAGAUGAGCCUAAGUCGGAUUAGCUAGUUGGUGGGGUAAAGGCCUACCAAGGCGACGAUCUGUAGCGGGUCUGAGAGGAUGAUCCGCCACACUGGGACUGAGACACGGCCCAGACUCCUACGGGAGGCAGCAGUGGGGAAUAUUGGACAAUGGGGGGAACCCUGAUCCAGCCAUGCCGCGUGUGUGAAGAAGGCCUUAUGGUUGUAAAGCACUUUAAGCGAGGAGGAGGCUCUUUUGGUUAAUACCCAAGAUGAGCGGACGUUACUCGCAGAAUAAGCACCGGCUAACUCUGUGCCAGCCGCCGCGGUAAUAC
rnacentral:rRNA from 1 species